UUUUUGGACAAUGGGGGAAACCCUGAUCCAGCCAUGCCGCGUGAGUGAUGAAGGCCUUAGGGUUGUAAAGCUCUUUCGCCUGCGACGAUGAUGACGGUAGCAGGAGAAGAAGCCCCGGCUAAUUCCGUGCCAGCAGCCGCGGUAAUACGGAAGGGGCUAGCGUUGUUCGGAAUUACUGGGCGUAAAGCGCGCGUAGGCGGCUUGUCAAGUGAGGCGUGAAAGUCCUGGGCUCAACCUGGGGACGGCGCUUCAGACUGUCUGGCUUGAGUCCGGAAGAGGGUGGUGGAAUUCCGAGUGUAGAGGUGAAAUUCGUAGAUAUUCGGAGGAACACCGGUGGCGAAGGCGGCCACCUGGUCCGGUACUGACGCUCAAGUGCGAAAGCGUGGGGAGCAAAC
rnacentral:rRNA from 1 species